rnacentral:rRNA from 1 species
UAAUACGUAGGUGGCAAGCGUUGUCCGGAUUUACUGGGCGUAAAGGGUAUGCAGGCGGGUUUUUAAGUAGAAAGUGAAAGGUUGGAGCUCAACUCCGACACUGCUUUCUAUACUGGGAGCCUUGAGUGCCGGAGAGGAAGAGGGAACUGCACGUGUAGCGGUGAUAUGCGUUGAGAUGUGCAGGAACACCAAUGGCGAAAGCACUCUUCUGGACGGUUACUGACGCUGAGAUACGAAAGCCAAGGGAGCGAACAGGAUUAGAUACCCUGGUAGUCUUGGCCAUAAACGAUGUUCACUAGGUGUUGGGGGAUUCCCUCGGUGCCGCAGCUAACGCAUUAAGUGAACCGCCUGGGGACUACGGCCGCAAGGUUG